GAACAAACUGCAAAUCCAGUAAUUUUUAAGUGUCAAAGCCAGACUUUCUUUUUUUUUUUCUCAAACAUUUUUCAAACAGUUCUCGCUUAAAAUGGUUGCAUUUGUUUGAUAGAUCAUCUUCCCUCUCCCUUUAACAACCUGUGUACAAACUUUUCUUUUGCUUUGAAUCAAACAAAACAGAUUUGGAAAUUCUCAGCAGGAAAGGAUAAAUAAACAUAAAUGUGAGAUUAGCCAUGCAAGUCUGAUUGAAUUCCAUCAUCUUGUAACAUGCUAUGUAUUCUUCACACAGCUCUAUAUGUAAGAUUGAUGCGUGUUUGAGCAACAAGAACACAACUACACCUGCCUUUUAUGAGCCAUCAGCAGCUGACUUUGUCCAGAAACUACAGCUGAGACAAAGAGCAUGAUGAGAAAAUUG
rnacentral:lncRNA from 1 species